GCCAACGUGGUGUAGUGGUUUGAGCAUUGGACUGCAACUCUGGAAACCAGGAUUCGACUCCUGGCUUGGCC